AAAGAACUUGCUUCUCUUCCAUGUCAGUCAUGCACUUGCUCUUGACUUGGAGGCAAGCUAGUUCUGUUUUACUCAUGCCUCUACCCAUUGCUCUCAGCCUACCCGGAUUGUCUGGUCCUAAAAGUUGAGAGAGGUGAUCUUCUUCUGGAUUUGCUGACGUUGGUGGACCAUCAUUUCCAACCAGCUCAGCCGCCUUUCUCUACAUAAUAUGAAAU
rnacentral:sRNA from 1 species